rnacentral:misc_RNA from 1 species
UAAAGAAAACCAGCUGCUAAAAGGGAGGCUAUGUCUUUACACUGCUGUGUCAUUUUCUGAAUCAGAUUUUCAAAAGAAAUGUGUACUUCCUUUCAGGGAAAAGAUGCCCGAGAUGUAUGAUUUAUACAUGAAAAGUAGAAGCUGAAGAGAAAUCCCUACAGUGGAGACAAUGGCUGCAGAGCAAAGAGGUAAGUGGGUCAACUAUCUUCAUUAUAUUUUGAAAGAG